AGGACUGGUGCUCGGGGAGUCGGUCUGCAAUUCAGUUGUUAUUAAUUCAAUCAAGCCUUGGAUUGCAGCAUUUGUAAUCUGCUGGUUUCCUUUCUCGAAAUAGUAGAGGUACUUGUUCAGUAUUUCAACAAAAAGUGUGACGGGUCCACUGCUACCCCGUGUAACAUUAGCCAUCUGUUGAGCAGCAUUUGCAAUUCGUAGGGCACGCUUUAGGCAAAGAAGAACUCUCUCUCCAUCCUUAAUGCCUUCUGGAUCAUCAACCCAAAAGAGAUGU
rnacentral:misc_RNA from 1 species